AAAUUGAAGAGUUUGAUCAUGGCUCAGAUUGAACGCUGGCGGCAGGCCUAACACAUGCAAGUCGAACGGUAACAGAAAGCAGCUUGCUGCUUUGCUGACGAGUGGCGGACGGGUGAGUAAUGUCUGGGAAACUGCCCGAUGGAGGGGGAUAACUACUGGAAACGGUAGCUAAUACCGCAUAACGUCGCAAGACCAAAGAGGGGGACCUUCGGGCCUCUUGCCAUCGGAUGUGCCCAGAUGGGAUUAGCUAGUAGGUGGGGUAAAGGCUCACCUAGGCGACGAUCCCUAGCUGGUCUGAGAGGAUG
rnacentral:rRNA from 1 species